CUCGUUGUUUCCUAGACCUAGCACCGCCGCCGCCAUCCAUGCAUCCGCACUCGCUUCCUAUACGAGCAUUCCAAAACAUCGCUGCCCACCUUCACGCGAUGCCCGUGUCCCGCCUCCGAUGCCCGCCCGCCUCUCUCGCCUUCGCUUCCACCAUCGCCUCGCUCGUCUUCGUCUCUGCCCAAACAACAUUGACACAUCUGCCCCACGCGCGAUGCACACGCCCCGCCUCCGAUGCCCACCUCCACAACCGACGCCCGGACGACGAGGACGCGGCGGCACAGGACGACGAGUUGGUUGGCGACUUAGCAGAUCUGGCGCCCG
rnacentral:misc_RNA from 1 species